UACGAAGGGGGCUAGCGUUGCUCGGAAUCACUGGGCGUAAAGCGCACGUAGGCGGACUGUUAAGUCAGGGGUGAAAUCCCGGGGCUCAACCCCGGAACUGCCUUUGAUACUGGGUAUCUCGAGUCCGAGAGAGGUGAGUGGAAUUCCGAGUGUAGAGGUGAAAUUCGUAGAUAUUCGGAGGAACACCAGUGGCGAAGGCGGCUCACUGGCUCGGUACUGACGCUGAGGUGCGAAAGCGUGGGGAGCAAACAGG
rnacentral:rRNA from 1 species